GGGAUAGGGAGGAGGCUCUGGAGAGGGAGAGGGUGCAGGAAAGAGUAGAGUGGGAGAGAGAGAUGAGGGAAAGAGAGGAGGCCCUGCUGUGCACUUUUAUGUCCGUUGUUGUCUGCAAAGACAAGGUCAUGAAAGACCUGAGGAUCCAGAUGGACAGACCGAGUCCAUCUGAGGUGUGCGAGGCACAAUGGGGCCAUUUUCAAACACAUGGGGCCACUGGCACUGCAGUGGUCACACUCCAGGUACUUUUCUCUCUGUUUCCCAGGGCUGCACUCUUUUCUGUGGCCUUCCUUGAAUGAUGUUUAACUUUG